GACGAACGCUGGCGGCGUGCUUAACACAUGCAAGUCGAGCGGUAAGGCUCCUUCGGGAGUACACGAGCGGCGAACGGGUGAGUAACACGUGAGCAAUCUGCCCUUCUCAUCGGAAUAACCAUUGGAAACGAUGGCUAAUGCCGAAUAUGACCUCGGAUCACAUGUUCUGAGGUGGAAAGCACCGGCGGAGAAGGAUGAGCUCGCGGCCUAUCAGCUUGUUGGUGAGGUAAUGGCUCACCAAGGCGAUGACGGGUAGCCGGCCUGAGAGGGUGACCGGCCACACUGGGACUGAGACACGGCCCAGACUCCUACGGGAGGCAGCAGUGGGGAAUAUUGGACAAUGGGCGAAAGCCUGAUCCAGCAACGCCGCGUGAGGGAUGACGGCCUUCGGGUUGUAAACCUCUUUCAGCAGGGACGAAGCGAAAGUGACGGUACCUGCAGAAGAGGGACCGGCCAACUACGUGCCAGCAGCCGCGGUAAUACGUAGGGUCCGAGCGUUGUCCGGAAUUAUUGGGCGUAAAGGGCUCGUAGGCGGUUUGUCACGUCGGGCGUGAAAACUCAGGGCUCAACCCUGAGCGUGCGUUCGAUACGGGCAGACUAGAGGUACGCAGGGGAGAACGGAAUUCCUGGUGUAGCGGUGGAAUGCGCAGAUAUCAGGAGGAACACCGGUGGCGAAGGCGGUUCUCUGGGCAUUACCUGACGCUGAGGAGCGAAAGCAUGGGGAGCGAACAGGAUUAGAUACCCUGGUAGUCCAUGCCGUAAACGUUGGGCGCUAGGUGUGGGGACCUUCCACGGUCUCCGUGCCGCAGCUAACGCAUUA
rnacentral:rRNA from 1 species